GGCUGGGCUGAAGGUAGCGAGUUAUCUCAGCUGAUUUCUCACAGUCAGUUACAGAUGGAAUUCCUUCCUCUGCUCUUUCUCCAGCUCUCACUGCUGCACUUGACUUGUCUUGA
ensembl:misc_RNA Y_RNA Y RNA